rnacentral:rRNA from 1 species
ACGGGUGAGUAAUAUAUCGGAACGUGCCCUAGAGUGGGGGAUAACUAGUCGAAAGACUAGCUAAUACCGCAUACGAUCUACGGAUGAAAGUGGGGGAUCGCAAGACCUCAUGCUCCUGGAGCGGCCGAUAUCUGAUUAGCUAGUUGGUGGGGUAAAAGCCUACCAAGGCAACGAUCAGUAGCUGGUCUGAGAGGACGACCAGCCACACUGGGACUGAGACACGGCCCAGACUCCUACGGGAGGCAGCAGUGGGGAAUUUUGGACAAUGGGGGCAACCCUGAUCCAGCAAUGCCGCGUGAGUGAAGAAGGCCUUCGGGUUGUAAAGCUCUUUUGUCAGGGAAGAAACGGUAGUAGCGAAUAACUACUACUAAUGACGGUACCUGAAGAAUAAGCACCGGCUAACUACGUGCCAGCAGCCGCGGUAAUACGUAGGGUGCAAGCGUUAAUCGGAAUUACUGGGCGUAAAGCGUGCGCAGGCGGUUGUGUAAGUCAGAUGUGAAAUCCCCGGGCUCAACCUGGGAAUUGCAUUUGAGACUGCACGGCUAGAGUGUGUCAGAGGGGGGUAGAAUUCCACGUGUAGCAG